GCGAGGAGCGGAGGAGAACGGGCUGGCGCGAGCCACCUCUGCCCGGAGACUGGCCCGGGCGGGGGUUGCGGGAGAGCGGACGUGAGGGGCGCGUGCUGUCACUUGGCGGGGCCCGCGCUCUUCUGGUCCUUAGGAGGGCUCCGGGCAGAGUCCCUCCUCACAGGCCUUUUCAUCGUGCUGGGACAGCUAUCCCAGCCUUCGUGAUAAGUUGUCAGGUAAAGCAAAGGUCCCCAAGCCCACUUGCAGGACCGUUACCGCUCAGUGACGGGAGGUCCCCUGCAACCUCUCGGGCUGCUACUCGAGCCAGGCAUUUCCUAGUUAGGAAUUUCUUAGAGAAGCAUUUCGCGGUUCCCCCGCGCUUCCCACCCAAGCAAGGACUUCUGAACCCAGAGGAGAUUGCCUUCGGAUUUAUGCAAGCUGCUUAGCUUAUUGUGAAACACUCUGAGAAUGAAAAAAAAAAAAGCCACCAACACGGGGACCAACUGGAUGAUCUGUACACCACUGCUGCAAACUUCCCCUCCAAGAAGGCAACAGAUAUCAGCUCAGCUCGCACCAGGAGACAGAGCAAAUAAGAUCCAAAUGACAGGAACAAUAAUCCAGGCUGGUUCACAGGGCAGGGCACAAACAGGGCAGGCAUCUGACUCACAUCAUUUUAUUUUGCUCUUUCCAGUUUGAAGCUACAAAAAUAUGGACCGCUUCACAAAUUUGCGUGUCAUCCUUGCACAGGGGCCAUGCUAAUCUUCUCUGUAUCAUUCCAAUUUUAGUCUAUGUGCUGCCGAAGUGAGCGCAACCCAGCUCAUUUCUGAAAUGUAAUGCCACGUAGUAAAGUAUUCUCAUGUCCCAUGGUCAUUAUUUCAAUAGUUUUAAGCAAUGUGUAGUCGUGCCUCCUUUCUGGAAUAUAUAAUUACCCUGUCAUUCUAUGGGUUUCAAAUCAAAAACUUGUUGUAUUG